rnacentral:rRNA from 1 species
CAGUAGCCGCGGGAAUACGGAGGGUGCAAGCGUUAAUCGGAAUUACUGGGCGUAAAGCGUGCGUAGGCGGUUCGUUAAGUCUGUUGUGAAAGCCCCGGGCUCAACCUGGGAAUGGCAAUGGAUACUGGCGAGCUAGAGUGUGUCAGAGGAUGGUGGAAUUCCCGGUGUAGCGGUGAAAUGCGUAGAGAUCGGGAGGAACAUCAGUGGCGAAGGCGGCCAUCUGGGACAACACUGACGCUGAGGCACGAAAGCGUGGGGAGCAAACAGGAUUAGAUACCCGGGUAGUCCCUGUCUCUUAUAC